rnacentral:rRNA from 1 species
CAAUCGAACCCGGAGAUAGCUGGUUCUCCCCGAAAUAGCUUUAGGGCUAGCGUCGCAGCGAGAGAGCCGUGAAGGUAGAGCACUGAAUAUGCGAUGGCCGCAUCCCGCGGUACUGAGCAUAAUCAAACUCCGAAUGUCACGGUGUCAUCUGCGGCAGUCAGACGGCGAGUGAUAAGGUCCGUCGUCAAGAGGGAAACAGCCCAGACCAUCAGCUAAGGUCCCAAAGUGCAUGCUAAGUGGAAAAGGAAGUGGAGACGUGCAGACAACUAGGAGGUUGGCUCAGAAGCAGCCAUCCUUCAAAGAGUGCGUAACAGCUCACUAGUCGAAUGACUCUGCGCCGAUAAUUUACCGGGGCUAAGCAUGACACCGAAGCUAUGGACAGGAAUGUGGUAGGGGAGCAUUGCAUGCAGCGGAGAAGCAUGACCGGGAGGGCAUGUGGAGCGCAUGGAAGAGAGAAUGCCGGCGUGAGUAGCGGCACGUGGGUGAGAAUCCCACGCACCGAUGGCCCAAGGUCUCCAGAGGAAGGCUCGUCCUCUCUGGGAUAGUCGGGACCUAAGGCGAGGCCGAAAGGCGUAGCCGAUGGACGACGGGUGGAUAUUCCCGUACCCGAUGUGUGGCGAUGGAGUGACGGAGAAGGCUCAGGCAACCAGCUGCUGGAAUAGCUGGGGCAAGCGAGAUACCUGCGCACCAGGGAAAUCCGGUGCGCAUAAGGGGAAGGCGCGAUGCAUACGGAAAGCUUCGGCAAGUACGGAAAAGCUGAGAGCAGGCUUCCAGGAAAAGCUUCUAGCACAACACACAUCGGCCCGUACCGAAAAUGGACACACAUGGGCAAGGAGAGAAUCCUGAGGUGAGCGAGAGAACUAUAGCUAAGGAACUCUGCAAAAUGACCCCGUAACUUAGGGAGAAGGGGUGCUCCAGAAAUGGAGCCGCAGUAAAACGGCCCAAGCGACUGUUUACCAAAAACACAGCUCUCUGCGAAGGCGCAAGCCGAAGUAUAGGGGGUGACGCCUGCCCGGUGCUGGAAGGUCAAGGGGAGCUGUCAGCGCAAGCGAAGCAGCGAGCCGAAGCCCCAGUAAACGGCGGCCGUAACUAUAACGGUCCUAAGGUAGCGAAAUUCCUUGUCGGGCAAGUUCCGACCCGCACGAAAGGCGUAACGAUUUGGGCGCUGUCUCAGCUGUAGACUCGGUGAAGUCUUAGUACCUGUGAAGAUGCAGGUUGCCCGCGACUAGACGGAAAGACCCCAUGGAGCUUCACUGCAGGUUGACAUUGGGCUUGGAUGCAUGAUGUACAGGAUAGGUGGGAGGCUGUGAGCCGUGCGCGCCAGCGUACGGGGAGCCGCUGUUGGGAUACCACCCUUCAUGCAUCUAGGUCCUAACCGGAGGCAACGGGCCACGGGACAGUGUCAGUCGGGCAGUUUGACUGGGGCGGUCGCCUCCCAAAGAGUAACGGAGGCGCCCAAAGAUACCCUCAGCAUGGAUGGAAACCAUGCAUAGAGUGCAAAGGCAUAAGGGUGUCUGACUGCGAGACAUACAGGUCGAGCAGGGACGAAAGUCGGGCUUAGUGAUCCGGCGGAUCCGAAUGGAAGGGCCGUCGCUCAACGGAUAAAAGCUACCCUGGGGAUAACAGGCUGAUCUCCCCCAAGAGUCCACAUCGACGGGGAGGUUUGGCACCUCGAUGUCGGCUCAUCGCAUCCUGGGGCUGAAGUAGGUCCCAAGGGUUGGGCUGUUCGCCCAUUAAAGCGGUACGCGAGCUGGGUUCAGAACGUCGUGAGACAGUUCGGUCCCUAUCUGUUGUGGGCGAAGGAGAUCUGCGGAGAGCUGUCCUCAGUACGAGAGGACCGGGAUGGACCUACCGCUGGUGCACCGGUUGUUCCGCCAGGGGCAUAGCCGGGUAGCUAAGUAGGGAAAGGAUAAGCGCUGAAAGCAUCUAAGCACGAAGCCUACUCCAAGAUGAGAUCUCCCAUUCGCAAGAAGUAAGACCCCUUAAAGACGAUAAGGUAGAUAGGCCAGGGAUGGAAGUGCAGUGAUGUACGGAGUUGACUGGUACUAAUCGGUCGAGGACUUAAUCAG